NNCGGUAUGGUGUAGUGGCUAACAUUUCGCGCUCUCACCGCGGAGCCCAGGGUUCGAUUCCCUGUACCGGAG
rnacentral:tRNA from 1 species